rnacentral:lncRNA from 1 species
GCCCGGAAAGGGUGGAGCACAACGUCGAAAGCAGCCGUUGGGAGCCCAGGAGGCGGGGCGCCUGUGGGAGCCGUGGAGGGAACUUUCCCAGUCCCCGAGGCGGAUCCGGUGUUGCAUCCUUGGAGCGAGCUGAGAGCUCGAGAUCUAAAGCUUAAGGACUAUGGAGUGGAUCUCAUUGAAGUUUCAGGCAAUGGAUGUGGGGUAGAAGAAGAAAACUUCGAAGGCUUAACUCUGAAACAUCACACAUCUAAGAUUCAAGAGUUUGCCGACCUACCUCAGGUUGAAACUUUUGGCUUUCGGGGGGAAGCUCUGAGCUCACUUUGUGCACUGAGGUGAUAAAAUAUUUUUAUCCAUUCACUUGACCCCUUAGAAAAACCUCUCUGAAAAUUAAUUGGAAUCAUUAUUAUUUACAGUUUUCUGUCUCAAUAUCUCAGCUUCCAGCUUCUGAAUUCUGUUUUGUCUCACUGCCAAUCUAAGUCCUAGUACUUCUGAAAUGUGAGCAAUAAAUGAAUGAAAUGAAGCAAAUAGUAUUGUUAAAAAAA